GCUGGGCGUGAUGGCGCAUGCCUGUAAUCCCAGUGGCCUGGGAGGCUGAGGCAGGAGGAUCGUGAGUUCAAAGCCAGCCUCAGCAAUGGCGAGGUGCUAAGCAACUCAGUGAGACCCUGACUCUG
rnacentral:sRNA from 1 species